CUGGGCUCGAAAUGUUAUGGACCGGAGUAGAAAUAUUCCUUCCCCGCAAGGGGCCGUAAUAUAGGUGCUGCAUGGCUGUCGUCAGCUCGUGUCGUGAGAUGUUGGGUUAAGUCCCGCAACGAGCGCAACCCUUAUCUUCAGUUGCUACCAUUUAGUUGAGCACUCUGACGAAACCGCCUCGGAUAACGGGGAGGAAGGUGGGGAUGACGUCAAGUCCUCAUGGCCUUUAUGUCCAGGGCUACACACGUGCUACAAUGGCCGGUACAAACCGUCGCAAACCCGUGAGGGGGAGCUAAUCGGAAAAAGCCGGCCUCAGUUCGGAUUGGAGUCUGCAACUCGACUCCAUGAAGCUGGAAUCGCUAGUAAUCGCGGAUCAGAACGCCGCGGUGAAUACGUUCCC
rnacentral:rRNA from 1 species